rnacentral:tRNA from 1 species
GCCCACGUGGCGAAACUGGUAAACGUUGCGGUCUCAGAAGCCGUUGUCAUUGACUUAGGAGUUCGAGUCUCCUCGUGGGCA